rnacentral:rRNA from 1 species
UUCCGGUUGAUCCCGCCGGACCUGACUGCUAUCGGAUUGAUACUAAGCCAUGCGAGUCAUUGUAGCAAUACAAGGCAUACGGCUCAGUAACGCGUAGUCAACCUAACCUAUGGACGGGAAUAACCUCGGGAAACUGAGAAUAAUGCCCGAUAGAACACUAUACCUGGAAUGGUUUGUGUUCCAAAUGAUUUAUCGCCAUAGGAUGGGACUGCGGCCUAUCAGUUUGUUGGUGAGGUAAUGGCCCACCAAGACUAUUACAGGUACGGGCUCUGAGAGGAGUAGCCCGGAGAUGGGUACUGAGACACGGACCCAGGCCCUAUGGGGCGCAGCAGGCGAGAAAACUUUGCAAUGUGCGAAAGCACGACAAGGUUAAUCCGAGUGAUUUGUGCUAAACGAAUCUUUUGUUAGUCCUAGAAACACUAACGAAUAAGGGGUGGGCAAGUUCUGGUGUCAGCCGCCGCGGUAAAACCAGCACCUCAAGUGGUCAGGAUGAUUAUUGGGCCUAAAGCAUCCGUAGCCGGCUCUGUAAGUUUUCGGUUAAAUCUGUACGCUUAACGUACAGGCUGCCGGGAAUACUGCAGAGCUAGGGAGUGGGAGAGGUAGACGGUACUCGGUAGGAAGUGGUAAAAUGCUUUGAUCUAUCGAUGACCACCUGUGGCGAAGGCGGUCUACCAGAACACGUCCGACGGUGAGGGAUGAAAGCUGGGGGAGCAAACCGGAUUAGAUACCCGGGUAGUCCCAGCUGUAAACUAUGCAAACUCAGUGAUGCAUUGGCUUGUGGCCAAUGCAGUGCUGCAGGGAAGCCGUUAAGUUUGCCGCCUGGGAAGUACGUACGCAAGGCUGAAACUUAAAGGAAUUGGCGGGGGAGCACCGCAACCUGAGGAUUGUGCGGUUUAAUUGGAUUCAACGCCGGG